rnacentral:rRNA from 1 species
AUACGGAGGGAGCAAGCGUUGUUCGGAUUUACUGGGCGUAAAGCGUACGUAGGUGGCGCAGCAAGUCGGGAGUGAAAUCCCACGGCUCAACCGUGGAAGUGCUUUCGAAACUGCUGUGCUAGAGGAUGAGGGGGGAAGGCGGAAUUCCAGGUGUAGCGGUGAAAUGCACAGAUAUCUGGAGGAACACCGGUGGCGAAGGCGGCCUUCUGGAUCAUACCUGACACUGAGGUACGAAAGCGUGGGGAGCGAACAGGAUUAGAAACCCUAGUAGUCC